UGCGAUGUAGCUCAAAGGGUAGAGCAUCUGUAUGUUGGACAGAGUGUUAGAGGUUCGAGUCCUCUCAUCGCAG
rnacentral:tRNA from 1 species